rnacentral:lncRNA from 1 species
GGGUACCUUUUUUCACAUUCACCAUUAAAGUUCUGCAGCCAGUGAAAUUGCCCAAUAUGCUGUCCCAGGCUCAUAUAGGACAGUAUAUGAGUGAGUCAUUAACAACACAUGGAGUUACGCAUUCUUGCUCCUCCUUCGUCUGGUGCACCCCACAUCUGUGAAUGGAAAGUGUCUACAGGACUGUGGUACUCUCUGGAUGAAUCCCACUGCUCUUCCGUGGAGUUGCUUCCGGUGGAGGGCAGUCAACACCAUCAUUCGAGAUGCUCAGCACAGAGUAUGGAGAUGAAUAAGGCCCAGUUCCGACGUCUGGGAUUUCAACUCUCCAGCCAAGAGGACAAGAAAAAGAUGUUUGGCUUCUAUGAAGCAAUUUAUUGUCCAGAGCAUCUUGGCAUCUGGCUGCUCCUGAGGAAACAGGAGGGUGUGUGUGUGUAUGUGUGUGUGUGUGUGUGUUUAUCUGGGAGUACUUAAAUAUUUCAGGGCUUAGUCCAUCCAUACUUUGAAUUUGAUAUGUAAUUAUGAAUAAAUACCGG